rnacentral:rRNA from 1 species
AAAAUGAAUCAAAACUUUCAACAACGGAUCUCUUGGCUCUGGCAUCGAUGAAGAACGCAGCGAAAUGCGAUAAGUAAUGUGAAUUGCAGAAUUCAGUGAAUCAUCGAAUCUUUGAACGCACAUUGCGCCCGCCAGUAUUCUGGCGGGCAUGCCUGUUCGAGCGUCAUUUCAACCCUC